rnacentral:rRNA from 1 species
UCCUACGGGAGGCAGCAGUGGGGAAUAUUGGUCAAUGGGCGGGAGCCUGAACCAGCCAAGCCGCGUGAAGGAAGAAGGCGCCAGGCGUCGUAAACUUCUUUUGUCGGGGAACAAAGGGCGCCACGUGUGGCGUUGUGAGUGUACCCGAAGAAAAAGCAUCGGCUAACUCCGUGCCAGCAGCCGCGGUAAUACGUAGGGAGCGAGCGUUAUCCGGAAUUAUUGGGUGUAAAGGGUGCGUAGACGGGAACUUAAGUUAGUUGUGAAAUCCCUUAGCUCAACUAAGGAAUGGCAACUGAAACUGGGUU